ensembl:snRNA U6 U6 spliceosomal RNA
UUGCUCACUUCAGCAGCAAACAUACUAUAAUUGGAAGGAUAGGGAGAUUAGCACAGCCCUUGCACAAGAAUGACAUGCCAAUUUGUGAAGCAUUCCAUAUUUUU